rnacentral:rRNA from 1 species
UCCUGGUCGGCUGCUUGACGGUACUAAUAUGGUAUUGAGUCGCUUUUUUUGCGUUAAAUCUACUGCAAGCGCGGUUAAUGUUUAGCAGUGUGGAUCUAAUGCCAUCGCUGAUGUUGACCCGCUGUUGGCACGUAGAAUUCUUUAACUGACUUAUUUACCAGUCAGCGAUGCUACUGCUUUGGGUACUUUCAGGACCCGUCUUGAAACACGGACCAAGGAGUCUAACAUGUGCGCGAGUCAUUGGGAUUUUUUUAAAACAAACCUAAAGGCGCAAUGAAAGUAAAGGUUGUCUUUUGACAAAUAAGGGAAGAUGGGUUACUAUACAAAUGUAAUCUCGCAUUCCCGGG